rnacentral:rRNA from 1 species
CUCAAAUUUGAAAUCUGGCCUUCGGGUCCGAAUUGUAAUUUGUAGAGGAUGCUUAGGGUGUGGCUCCGGUCUAAGUUCCUUGGAACAGGACGUCAUAGAGGGUGAGAAUCCCGUAUGUGACUGGCAGCCUUCGCCCGUGUUAAGCUCCUUCGACGAGUCGAGUUGUUUGGGAAUGCAGCUCUAAAUGGGUGGUAAAUUUCAUCUAAAGCUAAAUAUUGGCCAGAGACCGAUAGCGCACAAGUAGAGUGAUCGAAAGAUGAAAAGCACUUUGGAAAGAGAGUUAAACAGUACGUGAAAUUGUUGAAAGGGAAGCGCUUGCAAUCAGACUUGCGCGCAGGUAAUCAUCUGGGGUUCUCCCCAGUGCACUUGCCUGCGCUCAGGCCAGCAUCAGUUUUGGCGGCUGGAUAAAGGCCCUAGGAAUGUAGCUUCUCUCGGGGAGUGUUAUAGCCUAGGGUGCAAUGCAGCCUGCUG